rnacentral:lncRNA from 1 species
UCUCUCUCUCUCUCUCUCUCUCUCUCUCUCUCUCUCUCUCUCUCUCUCUCUCUCCAAACGCACAUUCCAACACAUUCUAACACAAAACUUAACAUCUUUUAAAUAUAAGUGCAAUAACAUUUAUUGUAUAAUUCUCGAUUACUAAUGAGGGGAGACAACAAAGACUUGGACGCAUAUUUUCUCGCAUGUAAAAAAAAAUUCUCGUUACACCAGUUAUGUUAUCAUAGUAAUAUAAAUAAAUUAAAAA